rnacentral:rRNA from 1 species
AUGAACGCUAGCUACAGGCUUAACACAUGCAAGUCGAGGGGCAGCAUGGUCUUAGCUUGCUAAGGCCGAUGGCGACCGGCGCACGGGUGAGUAACACGUAUCCAACCUGCCGUCUACUCUUGGACAGCCUUCUGAAAGGAAGAUUAAUACAAGAUGGCAUCAUGAGUCCACAUGUUCACAUGAUUAAAGGUAUUCCGGUAGACGAUGGGGAUGCGUUCCAUUAGAUAGUAGGCGGGGUAACGGCCCACCUAGUCUUCGAUGGAUAGGGGUUCUGAGAGGAAGGUCCCCCACAUUGGAACUGAGACACGGUCCAAACUCCUACGGGAGGCAGCAGUGAGGAAUAUUGGUCAAUGGGCGAGAGCCUGAACCAGCCAAGUAGCGUGAAGGAUGACUGCCCUAUGGGUUGUAAACUUCUUUUGUAAAGGAAUAAAGUCGGGUAUGGAUACCCGUUUGCAUGUACUUUAUGAAUAAGGAUCGGCUAACUCCGUGCCAGCAGCCGCGGUAAUACGGAGGAUCCGAGCGUUAUCCGGAUUUAUUGGGUUUAAAGGGAGCGUAGAUGGAUGUUUAAGUCAGUUGUGAAAGUUUGCGGCUCAACCGUAAAAUUGCAGUUGAUACUGGAUAUCUUGAGUGCAGUUGAGGCAGGCGGAAUUCGUGGUGUAGCGGUGAAAUGCUUAGAUAUCACGAAGAACUCCGAUUGCGAAGGCAGCCUGCUAAGCUGCAACUGACAUUGAGGCUCGAAAGUGUGGGUAUCAAACAGGAUUAGAUACCCUGGUAGUCCACGCAGUAAACGAUGAUUACUAGGAGUUUGCGAUACAAUGUAAGCUCUACAGCGAAAGCGUUAAGUAAUCCACCUGGGGAGUACGCCGGCAACGGUGAAACUCAAAGGAAUUGACGGGGGCCCGCACAAGCGGUGGAGUAUGUGGUUUAAUUCGACGCAACGCGAAGAACCUUACCAGGUCUUGACAUUGAUCGCGAUCUGCAGAAAUGCGGAGUUCUUCUUCGGAAGACGAGAAAACAGGUGGUGCACGGCUGUCGUCAGCUCGUGUCGUGAGAUGUUGGGUUAAGUCCCGCAACGAGCGCAACCCUUGUUGUCAGUUACUAACAGGUUUCGCUGAGGACUCUGACAAGACUGCCAUCGUAAGAUGUGAGGAAGGUGGGGAUGACGUCAAAUCAGCACGGCCCUUACGUCCGGGGCUACACACGUGUUACAAUGGGGGGUACAGAGGGCCGCUACCACGCGAGUGGAUGCCAAUCCCAAAAACCUCUCUCAGUUCGGACUGGAGUCUGCAACCCGACUCCACGAAGCUGGAUUCGCUAGUAAUCGCGCAUCAGCCACGGCGCGGUGAAUACGUUCCCGGGCCUUGUACACACCGCCCGUCAAGCCAUGGGAGCCGGGGGUACCUGAAGUGCGUAACCGCGAGGAUCGGCCUAGGGUAAAACUGGUGACUGGGGCU